UACGGGGGGGGCAAGCGUUGUUCGGAAUUACUGGGCGUAAAGGGCGCGUAGGCGGCCUGCUAAGUCGGAUGUGAAAUCCCUCGGCUCAACCGAGGAACUGCAUCCGAUACUGGCGGGCUUGAAUCCGGGAGAGGGAUGUGGAAUUCCAGGUGUAGCGGUGAAAUGCGUAGAUAUCGAGUGGAACACCUGCGGCGAAGGCGGGUUGCUGGGCUGACACUGACGCUGAACUGCGAAAGCUAGGGGAGCGAACGGG
rnacentral:rRNA from 1 species